AUGCCACCAGGGACAGGCGCCACGGGGGACAGGCGCCACGGGGGACAGAUACAAUGCGGGCUCUGCACCACGAGAGACAGAUGCCACGGGGGACAGAUGCCACGAGGGAUGGACGCCAAGGGAGACCGACGCCACGGGGGACAAAUGCCACGGGGGACCGACGCCCCAGGGGACAGAUGCAACGGGGGACAGACGCCAUGGGGGACAGAUGCAACGGGGGACAAAUGCCACAGGGGACGGACGCCACGGGGGACAGACGCCACGAGGGACGGACGCCACGGGGGACGGACGCCAUGGGGGACAGAAGCCUCGGGGGACGGACGCCACGGGGGACGGACGCCACGGGGGACGGAUACAACGCAGGAUGGACACCACGAGGGACAGACGCCACGGGGGACCGACGCCAUGGGGGACAGACGCCACGAGGGACCGACACCGCGGGGGAAAGAUACAACGGAGGAUGGACGCCAUGAGGGACAGACGCCACAGGGGAUAGAUGCCAAGAGGGACAGAUGCCACAGGGGACAGACGCCUCGAGGGACAGACGCCACAGGGGCAGACUCCACGAGGGACGGACGCCACGGGGGACAGAUGCCACGGGGGACAGAUACAACGGGUGAUGGACUCCACGAGGGAGAAAAGCCACGGGGGACAGAUGCCACGGGGGACAGAUACAAUGCGGGAUGGACACCACGAGGGACAGACGCCAUGGGGGACAGAUGCGACGGGGACGGACGCCACGGGGGACAGAUGCCACGAGGGAUGGACACCAUGGGGGACAGACGCCACAGGGGACAGACGCCACGGGGGACGGAUACAACAUGGGAUGGACACCAUGAGGGACAGAUGCCAUGGGGGACGGACGCCAUGGGGGACAGAUACAACGGAGGAUGGACACCACGAGGGACAGAUGCCACGGGGGACCGACGCCACGGGGGACAGAUGCCACGAGGGACAGGCGCCACGGGGGGCAGAUGCCACAGGGGGCAGAUGCCACGGGGGACCGACGCCACGGGGGAAAGAUACAACGCGGGAUGGAUGCCACGAGGGACGGACGCCACAGUGGAUGGUCACCAUGGGGGAUGGACGCCACGGGGGACAGACGCAUUUCUUGCAACACGGUGA
rnacentral:lncRNA from 1 species